rfam:Ascochyta rabiei strain ArDII scaffold_155, whole genome shotgun sequence.
GGGCCUGUGGCUCAGUGGUAGAGCGCCCGCUUUGCAUCAAGACAGGUCAGUUGAGAUCAGUUAGAGAUCAAAAUGCGGGAGGUCCAGGUUUCGAUCACCUGCCGGUCCA